rnacentral:rRNA from 1 species
CUGCCGUGGGCGUUUGAGAUUUGAGAGGAGCUGCUCCUAGUACGAGAGGACCGGAGUGGACGAACCUCUGGUGUUCCGGUUGUGAUGCCAAUUGCAUUGCCGGGUAGCUACGUUCGGACAGGAUAACCGCUGAAAGCAUCUAAGCGGGAAGCCCCCCUCAAGAUUAGAUCUCACCGGGACUUUAAGUCCCCUAAAGAGCCCUCGAAGACUACGAGGUUGAUAGGCGAGGUGUGUAAGCGCUGCGAAGCGUUGAGCUAACUCGUACUAAUUGCUCGUGAGGCUUGAUCAUAUAACU